rnacentral:lncRNA from 1 species
GGGGCAGCCACCAUGGAGUUCCGUCAGGAGGAGUUUCGGAAGCUAGCGGGUCGCGCCCUCGGGAGGCUGCACCGGUGAGCGUGGUGAGGGUCCUGGGUGGGGAACAGCCCGAGGGUCCGAGGAGGACGCACAUUCCCACCUGGACAGAGACGGACAGUUGGACGAGCGAUACCCGUGCACGGGGGUUCCACUCAUCUGUUCUAUUUUCUCCCUCCUCCAACAGUCCGCUCUCCCUGGUCCAGUCUCGUCCAUCAUCUCAUUCAUUUUUCCGUGUCCCACCCCACCCCAGACUCUACCCUUUCCCCUGGGACUGCCUCUUUCCUUCUCUUUGGAUCUCUGACCCCCUUCCUCACUUUUGGGUCUCUGUUCACUUAUCUUCACUCUGCCUCCUUUCUUAGGAUCUUGCCCCCUCUCUGAGUCUCUAUUUCCCUUUAUCUGCAAGUCUCUGUCCCCCCCUCUCUCUGAGUCUCUGGCCACUGGUCUCAGAUCUCUAUCAACCCCUCUCUCUGGGUCUCUGCUCCCCUCUCUUGGGGUCUCUGACCCUCUCCUUCUGGGUGUCUGUCCCCCUCUCUCUGGGUUUUUAUCCCCUGCCCUGGGUGUCUCCAUCUCCCUGUGUCUUUUUCAGUGUCCAUCUCUCAGAGAGUUUAAUCUGAAGCUAAAGCGGAUUGGGGCGCAUUGGUCCUUGUCCUUGGGGAGAGCUAAGCUGGGAGGAGAAGCCAGGGUAUCCUGGGUCUCUGGGGGGGAAAGAAGUUGCAGGCCAAAAAUUAGGCCCUGGGGUACGGUGGACUUCCCGAAGGAUAUAGACUAGAGCUAAGAAGGACUUCUCAUCAUCCAGGGAGAUGACCCCAGUGACCUGGGUGUCCCCAGGACAGUCUGCUGGACACCUCCACCCAAAUCUCUCACCCCCAACCCCAGCCCUGGCUCCAAGUCAGAGAAAUUACUCAGCUGCGGAGAAGCCUAAAAAUAUCCAGCCACAGUGCGGGGAGGAGAUGGCCUCAUCAGGACCAUGCCCCUGCUGCCAUUCCCUCGGACCCUGUCCCCUUGGCCCUGACCCCGUCUUUAGUUGACCCUCAGUGCCUCUCCCUAGGCCAUACAAGUCCUUCUCUUGUAUUCUCUAAGGCUGUGUUCUCUAAGACUGAACACCGGUCCUCCUUGCUGCGGAUCACUUCCUAGCUCCAAAGUUCCCCCACCCUCUAGUAACUGGAAAGAUGGGAAUAAGGCUGGACAGAAGGGAGGGGGCAGGAGGGUGGUGCAAUGGGGGGCGGGGGAGCUGAGAUAACCUCACCCCUUCUUUCCCCAAUCUUCCAGCCCCUCCCCACCCUUUUUCUCGCCUCCUUUCACGAGUUUCUCAAAAUACAUCAGUGCGAAGUCAGGAGAGGGAGAGAGCCGUGCUGAUGGAGGGGGCUGGAAGGAGGGUGGUGGUGGGAGGGAUGUGUUGCUCAGGCCCCCUCCCUCAGCCCCUGCGUCUCAGCUUCUCGUGUGUGUCUGGGCUUCUCAGUCUGUCUGUGUCUUACCUUCACCUCCCUGAGCUGCCUCCUGAGCCUCUAGAGACCCCAGAGCUCAGAGCUGCCCCCAAGACAGUCACCAAGGAGCUGGAGUUUGAGAAGAGCUUUGCAGCUGAACCCUGGGCUUCACUUCAAUGGCUGGGGAGAGGCAGAAUGCCCUGUACUGGACGUAACACCCUGAUUCCAUUAAAUCCUUUAGACAAAGCUGGGGAAACUGAGGCUCAGUUCGAAAAGGGGGGAAAAAAAAUCAAUGGAUUAAUUACAAAUGCCGUCAUUCGAACCCAGACCAGCCCCUCCCAAGCCUGGGAUGGAGGCUGCAGUUUCCUCGAGAUGAGUGAUCCUGGAGUGGGUGGGAACUCCCUCAGACCAGGAAACAGACGGUCACCCGGAGCGACUUGUGACAAGGACGUGGCAGGGGGAGGGGAAUGCAGGAGAGACAGGAGCCAAGGUGCCUCCUUUCUGAGAACCAGGCCUUGGAUGGGGCGAUGGCAGGGGCCAGGGAACGCUCAGAACCCGUCAUCACACUCUGGUGUGUGACCUUGGACCUGCUACUUCUGCUUUCUGAACCUCAGUUUACCUAGUUGUGCAAUGGCAGGAGACUACCAAGGGACAUAAGGGGACAGAGGCCUGCGAGAGCAGGGGAGCGGACAGAGAACCGGAGAGAAGCAAAGACAGAGACCCAGGGAGAGGGAGAUUGUGACACCUUCUUCAUUUUGGUGAACUGCUUCCUAAGCGCGGCAUUCCGGGCACCCAGGAAGGGGAGGAGGACCUCCCUCCAGGCUCUCCCCCUCUCUGUUCUUGUCUUCUGGGAAUCACUUGGGUCACUUCAUCUCUGCACCCUGGUUCUCUUGUCCUGAGAUGAUCAGUAUCACCUGGCAGUUCCCUCCUUGUAACUUCACAUUCUACCCUGGUCCCCAUUUUAUAGAUGUGGGAUACUGACCCCCCCCCCCCCCCCCAACCGCCGCAGCCCAUUUAGAAAGCCUUGGUCAGGUAUCUAUCUGACACAUUGGAGUAUCCACAACGGGUAUCAAAUUUCAGGGGCUGCAAUCACAUCCUGAGUUUCAGGGCCCAAUAGCCUCUGAUGGUAACCCGGGUCAAAGUCUACUCGCUAUGGCUGGCAGGUUCCGAUGCGGGGUGGGGGCAGUCUCUACCAGUCUGAGCUUACAUUCUGGGGCAUCUAUUCCCCGCCCCCCCCCCCAAUCUGGCUCUCUUUCCUGGUCCCUCCUGGGUACUGCCCACUCCCCCAGUCUCUUUCUCCUACCCCGUUUCUUAGCUGCCCCCCCCACCUCCUUAAGUUCUAGGAUGGGGAGGGUGGCUGUGUUCUCUCAUCGCUUCCACCCGCCUCCCCCCAGACCGUCUGGCUGUUCUAUUCCUCCCCCGUCCCAGUCUCCCUCGCCUCCAUCUGUUCCAGCCCCUUCCUGGGAUCCAGCCCGAUCCCCUGGCUGUGCACCCGCCUCAGAGAGGGGCCGCAUCUCGCGAAUCACGUCCCCAGCUUGUUUCUCCUCAGUCCCUCGGUCUCUCCAUCUUUCUCUGCAUCUAUGUGUCCUCUCUUUCGGGUUGCUGUCCUUCUCCAUCUCUGAGGUUCUGUCCCCUGCCCUCUCAGGGUCUCUGGUCUGUUCUCCCUUUUCUCUCUGGGUCUCUGUCUCUCCUUCUGUGUCCCUGACCCUCUUUGUUUCAGCCUCUGCCCACCCCCACCCCAUCUCUGUCGCCCUCCUUUUGGACACCCUGUCUCAGGGCACCUCUCUUUCCCUGCAGCCUCUCUCUGGGUUUGAGGUGGUUCUCCAAAUACCCUAUCCAUCAUCACAGACUCAAUUCCAGAACGGGCGGGGGCGAGAGCCACACUGGGGCCUGAGCCAAUCCCCCUACCAGGGCCAUCUGUCCCUUGCCAGGACACCACCCGCCACUCCCCCUCCCUACCCCCUAGCAGACAGCCUGAACUCAAGGUUCCCCAGGGAUGUCUGGCUGGGCUGCUGGAUUCCAGGGACCCUGACUUCUCCCCACCCUCAGGCAAUGGGCUUCCGGUGUCUGAAGGGAGUCAGCUGGAUGUCAGCCCCACACCUGGGGCCUGGAAGCAGGGAAGGGCAUGCAGGGGGAGGGAGAGGAGGGGGUCGGUAUAUAUAGCAGACGUGGCUGAGAAGCAUCUGUUCUUUUGACACCUUUGCUGAAGCAUCUCCUUAGCGCUUUUUGCUUCCUCAAAUAGACUCAUAUCUGGAAGAGGGGGUUGGAGAAUCUCUGGGCCUUAGGGUGGGGGCUGGGGGCACAGGUUCUUGGAUCACGAAGCGUACUCUGGGGUCUAAAACUCCUGAGUCGAGAGAUAACAGGGCUGGGGGAGAAGGAAACCGAGGACCCCCAUAUCUGAGUCUGCGAGAGAAGGGAGCUGGCAGUGUGAAUUCAUGGUCUGUGGGGGAUGGAGAGAGGGGGGUCCAGAUUCCUGGAUGGGGGGGGGCGAAGGGAGUUAGGGCCGGACUCUUGGGGAAGGAGGGAGUGCGGGCUUAGAAUCGUGGAUCUUGAAAAGCAGGAGGUUUUGCACUGGACUCAUGGGGAGGAGGGGGCCGGGGGCCUGGACUUACGAGUCUUUGAUUCUCGCUGCCCCGCAGCCUUCUGGAGAAGCGGCAGGAAGGUGCAGAGACGCUAGAGCUGAGUGCGGACGGGCGCCCGGUGACGACGCAGACCCGGGACCCGCCGGUAGUGGACUGCACCUGUUUCGGUCUCCCUCGCCGCUACAUUAUCGCCAUCAUGAGCGGUCUGGGCUUCUGCAUCAGCUUUGGGAUCCGCUGCAACCUGGGCGUGGCCAUCGUCUCCAUGGUCAACAACAGCACGACCCACCGCGGGGGCCACGUGGUGGUGCAGGUAGUUCAGGGGCGUGCCCCGGCACGCCGGCCCACCUGGCCCUGCCCACGCCCCCUGCUGACGUCACGUUCGUCCACGAGCAAUCCUGGCUCAGCCCCUUCCCACCGCAGCCAGAGUAGCCCCGCCCAUCUGUGCGUCCCCUACGCUUCCCCUCUGCUCUAGGGGGUCUCCUCUUCCUAAGCCCUGCCCCCAGUUAAAUGAAGCUCCGCCCCUAUUUUUCUCAGUGUAGACUUUGCGCCAGCAUUGGGUUCCCUACGUGUUUUGCCCCUGUCCCAUUUUGGGCCUCCUAGCAACUUUGCUCCACCUGCCAUCCAUGCCUGUCACCAGUGUCACAACUUAAUCCCAGCCCCAUGGCAGCCUCCACCCUGAGUUUUGAUCCUGGCGUUUCUGAAGUUCAGUCGCUGCUAAAUCCCGCUUCGUUGAGUCCGGCCCUUACCUAAAGCCCGCUUCAUCUCAGACUUCUUCCCUAUUUUUAAAAAAAAAAUCUAAAAAAAAACACAUUUAUUUUGAGAGACAGAGCAUGAGUGGGUGAGGGGCAGAGAGAGAGAGAGAGAGAGAGAGAGAGAGAGAGAGAGAGACAUACCGAAUCCGAAGCAGGCUCCAGGCUCUGAGCACAGAGCCUGAUAUGGGGCUCGAACCCACGAACCGUGAGAUCAUGACCUGAGCCAAAGUCAGACGUUUACCAGACAGAGCCACCCAGGCGCCCCAGACAUCCUUCCUAUUUUAAUUCCGGUGUAGAUCGUGCCCGUGCCCUAGGAAAAACUCCUGAUUUAGGCAUUGGCCUGCCUGCCUCGCCUCUUGCUCCCUUCCAGUCAGGCCGCCCCUUUGGCUACUUCCGGUCCCAGGCCAGACCCCACCCAGUCACCCCGCAAACAGUUCGUAGGUUGGUUAAGAGGCGUAAGUGGAGAAAGAGUCCCCACCCCAUUUAUGCGCCCCUAGACAGUCAAAGCUGGGGCACUGAGACAGCGAAGGCUUCUAGGCAGCAGCAGGCCCCGUUGCUAGGGCAGAGCAGCCCCUGGAAGCCCACCCAGAGCAGAGCUGGGAGGAGGACGGCUUGAAUUCUGAUUGGCAGGUGUUUUGGCGCGAGAGGGGAAUCCCUGUUGCUGAUUGGCUGAGGGACUAAAUCUGUCUGUGCUGAUUGGUGGAGGGGCAGAGCCUGGGGGCGGAACAGCUCGUUUGACGUGCCUUUUGGCCCGCAGAAAGCUCAAUUUAACUGGGAUCCAGAGACUGUUGGCCUCAUACACGGCUCCUUUUUCUGGGGCUACAUUGUCACCCAGAUUCCCGGAGGAUUUAUUUGCCAGAAAUUCGCAGCCAACAGGUACAGGGCUGGGGUCUCGAAGCGGGCGGGAACUACAGUUGUGUGGGUGGACUUAGUGGGUGUGGCCUGGCAUUUAGGGGCUGACGGGGGGAAAUGGGAGGAGCCUGCGUUAGGGGCGGGGUCUUGGAGGAAGGCGGGGCUUGCGAUUGUGGAAGGUGAGACAGAGGUGGGAGCCGGGGGUCUUGGAGAACACAAGGCCUGGCCCGCCGUGGGCAGAAAGAGCAGAAUCCUAGCUUUGGCGGGAGAGCUGGACCCUAUUCUCGUACUACGGACUCUUCCCACCAGGGUUUUCGGCUUUGCUAUUGUGGCUACAUCCACUCUAAACAUGCUGAUCCCCUCGGCUGCCCGAGUCCACUAUGGCUGUGUCAUCUUCGUGAGGAUCCUGCAGGGGUUGGUAGAGGUAAAGCCCUGCUCCACAUGACCCUGUGCCUGUUCUGACUCCGCCUCUUCUCGUUGACUUUGGUUUUCUCCUUCCUAGGGGGUCACGUACCCCGCCUGCCACGGGAUCUGGAGCAAAUGGGCCCCGCCCCUAGAGCGGAGUCGCUUGGCAACAACAGCCUUCUGCGGUGAGAGGAAGGGGCUGGGAUCCAGUCUUGCGGGUCUGAGGGAGGAGAGGCUGUGGCCUGUACUUCUGUGUCCCAGAAAAGCAGGGGCUGGAAGUCCACAUUCCCGGAUCUGAGGAUAGAUGAGCCUCUUCUACAUGUUGCACCCUCCCCCUUAGGUUCCUAUGCUGGGGCGGUGGUCGCGAUGCCUCUCGCCGGGGUCCUGGUGCAGUACUCAGGAUGGAGCUCUGUGUUCUACGUCUACGGUGAGGGUCCGGAGCCUGGGUCCGGGUGGCGCUGGGGCGGAGCGAGGCCGGUCAUCGCCUCGCUUCCGUCCCCCUCCUGAUCCCCCCAGGCAGCUUCGGGAUCUUUUGGUACCUGUUCUGGCUGCUCGUCUCCUAUGAGUCCCCGGCUCUGCACCCCAGCAUUUCGGAAGAGGAGCGCAAGUACAUCGAGGACGCCAUCGGCGAGAGCGCCAAACUCAUGAACCCGGUCACGGUCCGGGCCCAAGCCUGAUGGGGCGGGGGAGCGGUGGGGCAAGAAGAGAUAUCCAGGCAGGGAGGCAGGAGAAAAGGGGGCUUCGAACCUGCACGGAGUGUAGAGUGUAGAUCGUGUUGGGUUGCUGUAGACUCUCAGAGGAGACAGGAUGGGGACGCACAGUGGGCGGGGCUAGAACCUAGGAGGCGGGGUUAAAGCCCGGGGAAGAAAGGAUCAGCAGGAGCUGAGGGCAGGGCUAGGUUGCUAGGUGGACAGAACCAGUAUGAGACGUAGUUAAACCGGCAGAGGCGGGAUUCGAGUGUGGGGGGUGGGUUGCUUAGACGGGUGAGUGAGGCUAGAAUUAGGGGGCAUAAUGGAAAUGGAAAGAGACUCCUGGGCUCACAUUUAUGGGUCCCUGAGGGUCAUCAUGGGGUCCGCACACCUGAGAACCUGAGGGACACCGUACAGUCGGGACGCCUGCAUUUCUGAAGUGUCACUGUGAGGCUAGGAUGCCAAGGUCCCCACAGGGACGUGGUCAAGCUGGUGCCCCUGCGUCCCCAGAGGUUUUAGUGAAGUCGGGAGACCUGGGUCUCUGUGGGACUAUAAUAGGGUCCCUGAAGGGACACGGAGAGCACCCAGCCCUGGUCUCGAUCUUAGCUGCCGCUCUUCUCCCCCCACCCCCAGAAGUUUAACACACCCUGGCGGCGCUUCUUUACUUCCAUGCCAGUCUACGCCAUCAUCGUGGCUAACUUCUGCCGCAGUUGGACGUUCUACCUGCUCCUUAUCUCCCAGCCCGCCUACUUCGAAGAGGUGUUCGGCUUCGAGAUCAGCAAGGUUGGGCCCAGGAGGGGAAAGCAGGGGGCGCAGCGGGGGGAGAUGAAGCAACCGGGCCCGGAUCCCAAGAGGUUGGAACGAGGGACAGGAAGGAGCCAGUGGAGCACUGACCGGGUGGAGAUGUCCGGCCAGCAGCCCCUGAGCCCUCGCUCUGUGCGCUCGCUGGUGCAGGUGGGCCUGGUGUCAGCGUUGCCUCAUCUGGUCAUGACCAUCAUCGUGCCCAUCGGCGGCCAGAUCGCGGACUUCCUGAGGAGCCGCCGCAUCAUGUCCACGACUAACGUGCGCAAGUUGAUGAACUGUGGAGGUGAGUGGGGCGGGGCCCCGAGCCGGGUCUGGGACCGCCUGGGCGGGGCGGAACCAGGUGAGGGUGGAGGUGGGGCCAGGGGCGUGUCCAAAAAGUCCCGGCGCGGGCGAAGGAGGGCGUGGAUGGAACAGAAUCCCUGGCUGCAGUCUCUGGGCCCACCUGGUGGCGGGGGCUGGUGCGUGUGACUAUGCAGGGGCCUGGAGCGGAGUCUUUAGGGCGUGGCCUAGUCGGGGCGUGGCCUAGUCGGGGCGUGGGGCCACGGAGGACCCAGCUGGGGCGGGGGGUGCUGGCCCCCGUACACCUGGUUGAGGACCAGGGAGGUGAGGGUUUGGUUAGGCCGGGCGCGGGCGGAAUGAAGGACGAGGCGGGCUGCACAAAGCCAGGGACCGGCAUGGAGGCGGCCGGAUUGGGGCGGGAACAGGCUGGAGAGGCGGUGUGGGGAGGCCGGGGCUCAGAUGAGACGGCCCUCCGGCCCUCCGUAGGCUUCGGCAUGGAAGCCACGCUGCUGCUGGUGGUCGGCUACUCGCACUCCAAGGGCGUGGCCAUCUCCUUCCUGGUCCUCGCCGUGGGCUUCAGCGGCUUCGCCAUCUCUGGU